rnacentral:rRNA from 1 species
UGCGUAGGCGGUUUGUUAAGUCUGUCGUGAAAGCCCCGGGCUCAACCUGGGAAUGGCGAUGGAUACUGGCGAGCUAGAGUACGGUAGAGGAGAGUGGAAUUCCCGGUGUAGCAGUGAAAUGCGUAGAGAUCGGGAGGAACAUCAGUUGCGAAGGCGGCUCUCUGGACCAGUACUGACGCUGAGGCACGAAAGCUGGGGAGCAAACA